rnacentral:sRNA from 1 species
AUGGCUGUCGUCAGCUCGUGUCGUGAGAUGUUGGGUUAAGUCCCGCAACGAGCGCAACCCUUACUUUUAGUUGCCACCAUUUAGUUGAGCACUCUAAAAGAACUGCCAGUGAUAAGCUGGAGGAAGGCGGGGAUGACGUCAAGUCCUCAUGGCCCUUACGUGUUGGGCUACACACGUGCUACAAUGGCACUUACAAUGAGAUGCAAAGAGGCGACUCCUAGCUAAUCUCAAAAAGGUGCCUCAGUUCGGAUUGUACUCUGCAACUCGAGUACAUGAAGCUGGAAUUGCUAGUAAUCGCGGAUCAGCGCGCCGCGGUGAAUACGUUCCCGGGUCUUGUACACACCGCCCGUCACACCAUGGAAGUUGGUUACACCUAAAGGCAAAACUUAAAACUUUUGACUACGGUACGAUCAGCGACUGGGGUGAAGUCGUAACAAGGUAGCCGUAGGGGAACCUGCGGCUGGAUCACCUCCUUUCUAAGGAAAUCGAAAAAUAUUAAAACAAUUAUUUUCGAUUUAAAAAAAACCGGUAAUGUGACCGUCCUCAUUUCUCUUCUUUUAAUGUCUCUGAGUAAAAACUAAGGGGCCGGUAGCUCAGGUGGUUAGAGCGCACCCCUGAUAAGGGUGAGGUCGGAAGUUCGAGUCUUCCUCGGCCCACCAAAAGUGUCGGGGGAUUAGCUCAGCUGGGAGAGCGCCUGAUUUGCAUUCAGGAGGUCAGCGGUUCGAUCCCGCUAUCCUCCACCAAAUUUGAGACAUUUAGCUUUUUUAAAUCGUAAAUAUUAUUAUUAUCAAUAUCUAUAUCCGAUUGUUUUCAAAUAUUUUUUUUGAAAACAAUCAAAACAAAAAUUUAAUUUAUUGCAGAAAAAUUUUUUUCUGUGCAUAAAUCAAGCGUUUAAGGGCGAUUGGCGGAUGCCUUGGCUCCAGAAGUCGAUGAAGGACGUAGUAAGUUGCGAUAAGCCGCGGCUAGCGACAAACACGCUUAACCGUGGAUUUCCGAAUGGGGAAACCCGA